GACGAACGCUGGCGGCGUGCUUAACACAUGCAAGUCGAACGGAAAGUCCCUGCUUUUGUGGGGUGCUCGAGUGGCGAACGGGUGAGUAACACGUGAGUAACCUGCCCUUGACUUUGGGCUAACUUCAGGAAACAGGGUCGAAUACCGGAUCGAAUCUCCUGCUGCAUGGUGGGGGUUGGAAAGUUUCGGCGGUUGGGGAUGGACUCGCGGCUUAUCAGCUUGUUGGUGGGGUAGUGGCUUACCAAGGCUUUGACGGGUAGCCGGCCUGAGAGGGUGACCGGCCACAUUGGGACUGAGAUACGGCCCGGACUCCUACGGGAGGCAGCAGUGGGGAAUAUUGCACAAUGGGCGGAAGCCGGAUGCAGCAACGCCGCGUGCGGGAUGACGGCCGUCGGGUUGUAAACCGCUUGCGCCUGGGACGAAGCGCGAGUGACGGUAAUGGGUAAAGAAGCACCGGCUAACUACGUG
rnacentral:rRNA from 1 species